rnacentral:rRNA from 1 species
GCAUAUCAAUAAGCGGAGGAAAAGAAACCAACAGGGGAUUGCCCCCAGUAACGGCGAGUGAAGCGGCAACAGCUCAAAUUUGAAAUCUGGCCCCCAGGGCCCGAGUUGUAAUUUGCAGAGGAUGCUUUUGGCGCGGCGCCUUCCGAGUUCCCUGGAACGGGACGCCAUAGAGGGUGAGAGCCCCGUCUGGUCGGACGCCAAGCCAGUGUAAAGCUCCUUCGACGAGUCGAGUAGUUUGGGAAUGCUGCUCUAAAUGGGAGGUAUAUGUCUUCUAAAGCUAAAUAUAGGCCAGAGACCGAUAGCGCACAAGUAGAGUGAUCGAAAGAUGAAAAGCACUUUGAAAAGAGGGUUAAACAGUACGUGAAAUUGUUGAAAGGGAAGCACUUGUGACCAGACUUGGGCCCGGUGAAUCAUCCAGCGUUCUCGCUGGUGCACUUCGCCGGGCCCAGGCCAGCAUCAGUUCGCCGCGGGGGAUAAAAGCUUCGGGAACGUAGCUCCCUCGGGAGUGUUAUAGCCCGUUGCAUAAUACCCUGCGGUGGACUGAGGUUCGCGCUCCGCAAGGAUGCUGGCGUAAUGGUCACCAGUGACCCGUCUUGAAACACGGACCAAGGAGUCGUCUUCGUAUGCGAGUGUUCGGGUGUCAAACCCCUACGCGUAAUGAAAGUGAACGCAGGUGAGAGCUUCGGCGCAUCAUCGACCGAUCCUGAUGUUCUCGGAUGGAUUUGAGUAAGAGCAUACGGGGCCGGACCCGAAAGAAGGUGAACUAUGCCUGUAUAGGGUGAAGCCAGAGGAAACUCUGGUGGAGGCUCGCAGCGGUUCUGACGUGCAAAUCGAUCGUCAAAUAUGGGCAUGGGGGGCGAAAGACUAAUCGAACCUUCUAGUAGCUGGUUUCCGCCGA